GAUGAAGAACGUAGCGAAAUGCGAUACGUAAUGUGAAUUGCAAAUUCAGUGAAUCAUCGAGUCUUUGAACGCACAUUGCGCCCCCUGGUAUUCCGGGGGGCAUGCCUGUCCGAGCGUCAUUGCUGCCCUCAAGCACGGCUUGUGUGUUGGGCCCCGUCCUCCGAUUCCGGGGGACGGGCCCGAAAGGCAGCGGCGGCACCGCGUCCGGUCCUCGAGCGUAUGGGGCUUUGUUACCCGCUCUGUAGGCCCGGCCGGCGCUUGCCGAUCAACCCAAAUUUUUAUCCAGGUUGACCUCGGAUCAGGUAGGGAUACCCGCUGAACUUAAGCAUAUCAAUAAGCGGAGGA
rnacentral:misc_RNA from 1 species